CAAUGUUUACCAGAUAUUGGUCAUGGUGUUUUCUGCUUACAAUGGCUGUGUUCUGUACUAGAGAUCAGUCAUGUGGCUGUCAAGGCGAAUAUGACUGGAGCGCCUGCACCGCUUCUUGUGGUGGUGGCCUGCAGACUAGAAGAUGUAGUGACACCAGCAUCGUCACGCGGGUGUGCAACUCUCAAGCUUGUGCAAGAGUACCGGAACCUCUUGGAUUCUGGCCGCUACAGAACUC